CUCUGAUGCAGCGAUGCCGCGUGAGUGAAGAAGGCCCUUGGGUUGUAAAGCUCUUUCGUCGGGGAAGAAAAUGACUGUACCCGAAUAAGAAGGUCCGGCUAACUUCGUGCCAGCAGCCGCGGUAAUACGAAGGGACCUAGCGUAGUUCGGAAUUACUGGGCUUAAAGAGUUCGUAGGUGGUUGAAAAAGUUAGUGGUGAAAUCCCAGAGCUUAACUCUGGAACUGCCAUUAAAACUUUUCAGCUAGAGUAUGAUAGAGGAAAGCAGAAUUUCUAGUGUAGAGGUGAAAUUCGUAGAUAUUAGAAAGAAUACCAAUUGCGAAGGCAGCUUUCUGGAUCAUUACUGACACUGAGGAACGAAAGCAUGGGUAGCGAAGAGGAUUAGAUACCCUCGUAGUCCAUGCCGUAAACGAUGUGUGUUAGACGUUGGAAAUUUAUUUUCAGUGUCGCAGGGAAACCGAUAAACACACCGCCUGGGGAGUACGACCGCAAGGUUAAAACUCAAAUGAAUUGACGGGGACCCGCACAAGUAGUGGAGCAUGUGGUUUAAUUCGAAGAUACGCGCAGAACCUUACCAACACUUGACAUGUUCGUCGCGACUCUAAGGGAUUAGAGUUUUCGGUUCGGCCGGACGAAACACAGGUGCUGCAUGGCUGUCGUCAGCUCGUGUCGUGAGAUGUUGGGUUAAGUCCCGCAACGAGCGCAACCCUCACUUUUAGUUGCCAUCAUUAAGUUGGGCACUCUGAAAGAACUGCCAGUGAUAAGCUGGAGGAAGGUGGGGAUGACGUCAAGUCCUCAUGGCCCUUACGUGUUGGGCUACACACGUGCUACAAUGG
rnacentral:rRNA from 1 species